ACAACACUCGUGUGGACCCUGUGACAUUGGGCCAAUUUACGAAUUGGUUGUCUUCUGCUUUUUCUUUCUUUAAGGAAUGGGUGGGAGUAGGCAUUUUUGGAGCGAUGUGUUGUUUUGGGGUUGUCCUUUGUCUGUGGCUUUUCUGUCGCCUAAGAGCUCGUCAUACCAAGAAAAGGCUAUGAUCGUCCAGGCUUUUGCAGCCCUAGAGAAUGGUAUCUCUCCACAAGUUUGGCUUGCGCAACUUAAGCAAUAAUUUCCUGGGUUUUGGCCAUUGCACCCCAAGUUAUCUUUGACAUUGCACUGGGAUUGGCAUGCCCUCCUCUUCCUGCUUUCCCAGUUAUGGAAGGCCCAUGCACUCUGCAGGCCUUGUUGCCAUUGCAUGCAGGUGGGCUUCCAUGCUGGUGCUGCACUUUAUGCUUUGGACCCUUCGUUUUCUCAGGGGCUGAG
rnacentral:lncRNA from 1 species